UCUCCGUUGGUGAACCAGCGGAGGGAUCAUUACCGAGUUUACAACUCCCAAACCCCUAUGUGAACGUUACCAAACUGUUGCCUCGGCGGGAAAUUCAUGCCCCGGGCGCGUCGCAGCCCCGGACCAAGGCGCCCGCCGGAGGACCAACCAAAACUCUUUUGUAUGUCCCUCGCGGACUUUUAUAAUUCUGAACCAACUCGGCGCCCCUAGCGGGCGUUUCGAAAAUGAAUCAAUACUUUCAACAACGGAUCUCUUGGUUCUG
rnacentral:misc_RNA from 1 species